UUUCUAUUUCUUCUCCUCUAAUGGUUUCAUAUCUGUACCUUUAAAUUUUUAUUUUAUUAUUUAUUUAUUGUGUGUGUGUGUGUGUGUGUGUGUGUGUGUGUGUGUGUGUGCGCGCGCGCGCGUGCACUUUCAGAAGUGGGUGUCCUGUCUUCAGGAGCUGAAGUUACAGGCAGUUGUGAGAUGAGGAUGCUGGAAACUGAACCUAGGUCUCUGCAAGAGCAUCAAGUGCUCUUAUCUGCAGGACCAUUUUUCAAGCUCCAGUAGAGCUAUACCUAGCUGAACAUUUCAGUGAUUGUCAUGGAAACGGUGAUGUUCAUUCCUAGCGUAUUACGGUCUAUUUUGAAUAUGUAACUUUGAAUUUUCCUGUACAAUAGAAAACUCUUAUAGCAGCAAACCACAUGUAAUGCCUGCUGUCCUUCAAUUAUUAUGUAUGUCAUGAACAUGAAAUCAUAUCAUUUUUGUUCCCUCAAAAAAAAACCUAUUUCUUCCAUCUACACUAUCAGAUCUCCAUCUAAAAUUGUUUGUUGUGUGUCUUUGUUAUGUUAUGUGUUUCUGUUAUGUGUUAAGUGUCUAUGUUAUGUCAUUGUUAUAUGUUUGUUAUGUGUCUUAUGUGUUUUUAUGUGUCAUCUUCCAUUUCAACUCUAAAGUAUUUUAUUUAUAAUUUCUCUUAAUUUGUCAUGAAAAUUAUCUCAGAUUUUUGUCUGAUAUCUUCAUUUGACCUCCAUUUUUAAAUUGUAGUUUCAUUGGGCAAAGAGCUUUGAAUCAGCACAAUUUUUCUUCCUUUUGCAGGGACUUCUGUGUUUCUACAGGACUCACCUGGUGGCUCACAGCCAUCUGUAACUCCAGUUCCAGGGAUCUACUGCCUUCAUCUGAUCUUCAUGGGCACCAAGCAUGUACAGGACACACAUACACAAAUGCAGGCAAAAUGCUUUUACAUAGAAUAAAAUGAACGCAUCUAAUUUAAAAACUUGAAAUUUUCAUUCCUCCAACAUCUGGUCUCUGUACUUCCAGUUGAAAAGUCAAGUGAGUUUUCUCAUUGCUUUUGGUAGUCAACAUCUUCUGGCCUUUAAAAAGAUUUUAUUUUCAGCUUUGUUUUUGUUUUUGUUUUCCCAGUUUGAUUAUGAUAAUCUUAUGAUUUAUUCACAUUCUAUUGACCCUCAAAUCUUCAAAUAAUUUUACCAGUUUUGAAGGAAAAAUCUUAAUGGUGGAAUGGUCAAUCUUGGUUGUUAACUUGUUAGGAUUGACAGUCACCAUGGAAACAACCUCUAGAUGUGUCUGGAAGAGAUUUUUCUAGAUUAGGUUAAUUGGGGGAGGGGCAAGCCUCCCUAGAUGUGGGCAGUUCCAUUUCGUGGAUUGGGAUCCAUGACUGAAUAGGGAUCAGAAACAGAGCUAAGCAGCUGUACUGAGUGUCCUGCGUCCUGACUGGGGACGCAUUGAGACUGUGAUGUGACCAGCUUCUCUGAGCUCCCACCACUGUCUCUUUCCUGCAGUUACAGACUAUAAGCCCCUCCUUCCUUAGGUUGCUUUAGUCACUUAGCAAUGGAACAAGCAACUAGUGCACAUGGCUUCCUUCAGUCCCUCUGGGCCGUUUUCUUUCUUCUCUUCCAUCAAUCCAAUGAUGGAAACUGUCUUAAACUCAUCCUCUACUUUGUUUAUGUUUUUAUGGUUUUUAUUCCUUCUACUCGCUACUUUAGAUGAUCACUGUCUCUGAGUUCAUGGAUUCUGUCCUCUGUUGUUCAACAUCUUAUUAAACGUUAGUUAAGUUGUGAGGCCAGACAUUUUGUUACUCCUAGGAACAUAUAGAUGAAAAUUAUCCAACUUUUUUCUACUUUCCAUCUAUAAUCUAUAAUAGUUUUUUUAAUCUUUUGUAUGCUACCUGCCAUAUAUGGCUUAUCUGUGUAUCUACUUAUAUUCUCUCUGUCUCUCUCUCUGUCUCUCUGUCUCUCUCUCUCUCCUUGGUCAUUGCCUGUAUGUUUUUUCCUCUUACAUGUCCACACAUAAUUUACAGUAUAAAGAACAAUGUGUGUAUAAAAUAAGUCAUGAAGACUGACAAUUAAUGCUAUUUGCCUUCAGAAAAGCUUUACCCUUCCUCUGUUACUCAACAGAAUACGCUGUUGUUCAAGUUCAGAGACUGAACUCAGUCAUGCUCUGUUGUUUUGAGACAGGGUCUCAGGUAUCCUAGACUGGCCUCCAAAUUUCUGUGUCACUAAGUGGCCAAGUGUCUUGAGUUAGGGUUUCUAUUUCUGUGAUUAAACACCAUAACCAAAGCAACUCUUAUAAAGGAAACUGUUUCGUUGAGGGCUGGCUUAGAGCUUCAGAGGUGAGUCCAUUAUCACCAUAGCCAGGAGUGCAGAGGCAGCGAGCAUGGAUCGGGGGCAGUAGUAGAGAGCUUUACACACUGAAAUCUCAAAGCUCACUCCCAGUGACAUACCUCUUACAACAAGCUCAGUACCUCCUAAUCCAUCUUAGCAGGUCACCUACUGAAAACCAAGCCUUCAGAUACAGGAGCCACCACACCAAGGACGGGUUGAUUCUCCCCUCUCUCUCUCAGGGUUUCAGUUUUAAAUGGACACUACCAAUCUCUGGUUUCAAUUGUGCUGUGGAUGGCAUUUAUGAUAUAAUUCCACUGUAGUAACAUGGAAACAUUUGCUUCUAGCCCACAGCAAACACACGCUGUUGGUCUUGUAUGCUACCCCAGUAUUGCUCAGAGCUGCUCAAGCUUCCUAUGUGUUGUAUCGAGAUAGAGCAUACAAAAGGUUCAUAAGGUUUCUCUCAGCCGGCAUAGUCCUAUCUAUAGGCCACAAUAUUAGUUGUUUUUCUGUUGCUGAGAGAAAACACCAUACCCAAGGAGACUUACAGAAGAGUUUAUUUGGGCUUAUGGUUUCAGGGAAUUGCAUCAGAGGUGGCAGGCAUGCAACUGGAGCAGGAAGCUGAGAUUCCCCCAUCCUCAACAAAGCGGAGAGGGCAAGCUGGAAGUGGCUUGUGGAUUUUAAUCCCAAAGCCUGCCCUCAAUGACAUACUUCCUUCAGCAAAGUUGCACGACCAAAACCUCCCCAAAUAGCACCAUCGACUGGGAACAAAAUACUCAAAUGUCCGAGACUAUGGGGAACAUUUCUCAUUCAAACCACCACAGCCACAGCUGAUAUUUAGUUGGUGCCUUAGGUUAAUAUCUGCUUCUACAGAGGAAAGUGUCAAUGACACAUGCCCACCUGGGUGCAUCUGGCUUAUCUGUUAAAUAUUAAAACUUAGCAGUAGCUCUCUCGUAUUUCCUCAGUCUUCAUUUGUAGCUCAAAGCUUUGACUUGCUCUAUUGUUCCUUGUUCUGGCAAAAACAACUGCUUGUGCUUUGUCAGGGGGCCUCACGGGCUUUGGAGAUGGUCCUGCCUCCUUGCCUCUAGACCCGGCCUAUCAGCUUAAUGGUCAGACAGCACUGCUUUGUCUAUAUAGUCUAUAUGUUGCAAAGGCACCUCUCUGUUGUUUUUCUCAUAUAAAAACCUGGUUCUGAGGACUGCCCAGGGUUGCAGUUUUGGAUCCCAAUUCCUGGCUGCAUCCUUGAUUAGUCAGUCUUAGAGUGUGUUCAAUAAGCCAUCCAUACCUGACUGAGAUUGGUGCCUGAGUGGCUUGUGCGGCUAUUCCUGGACCCUAACAUUAUCUAUUGAACUUUAGUUCAUCUCAGUCAUUAACCCUCACAGUGCCUCACACUUUACAGACCUGACUGUGCCAUCUUCAUCUGUCUGUCUCCCUAGCUGCUAUAGGAGGAAAGAUGACACCCUGCUACUUACCCCUCCCGGAGAUAAGAAGUCUACAUUUAAACCAUUUAAAACACCAAAUAAUAAGCAUUAGAAGUAAUUAUUUGACUAAGGAAAACAGAAUUGGAAUUUUAAAAAAUUUAGAAAACAUUGAAUAAAUGUGGACUAAAACUAAAGUGGUAUUUUGUUAGAAAUACCAUAUAUCAAAGAAGAAAACAAACAUCAAAUAAAUGUAAAAUAUUAGAAGUAGAAAAGGAGAAUGUGCAUGAGAUGUGGAAGAAAAUCAGAAAGACAAUCAAUGACAUAAACAAGGGAAAGGUGCUAGAAUCUGAAAUCUUUCUCCUACUGCCCUAUAAAACGCUGAACAAACAGAAACCAGCAGCUCUUCUCAUGUCUGUAAUCAAAUGAUAGCAAGUGUUGCUCUUUAAACUGGAGAAGCUGAUGGGAAACUCUUAAAAUCCAAAACAAAGUGAAAUAAAUAAUAAGAAACCAAAUUCUACAAAAUAGGUCCCAAACCCCUAAGGCAGUUUACCAACAGUAUAUGUAGAUGGUAAAUAAACACACACACACACACACACACACACAUCUCCUCUGUGUUCCCACAGAAGAACAUUCUAAAAUAGUAUUAUUACAGACUGUCAGAAUGUUGGAAGCAAAACUCUGACAUCAUCAAAUGCUGGCUAAGAUGUGUCUAACUGGGAGUCUUAUUUGCUGGUGAAAACACAAAAAACGGUGCAGUUACUUUGGGAGACAGUCAGCAGUUUCCCAUCAGAGCGCCUUCCUGUACAGUCAGCUACUGUAGUCUCUGACAUUUACCUAAGGAUGAAAUGAUGCUCACUCCACACCCUGCAUCCGGGUUUUGACUUUCAGUGGUUUCACUUAUAGCAGCACAAAGUUAGACCCAGCAGAGCUAUUCUUCAUUAGGAGGAUGAGGAAAUGAGCUGGUACAUCUAGCCGACGGCAUAUUAGUCUACACUAAAACGAAGCCAUCUUUUAAGCCAUUAAAGGACAUGGAGGUCAAUUGCAUUAUCACUAAGCUAAGGAAACCAAUCUUUUAUACUGUAUGAUUCUAACUACAUGGUAUCUUAAAUGUCAGAACACAAUGAAACUGUCAACAAUCAAUUUUUGAGGCAGGAAGGAUAAAUAGAUUGUGCACUAAGUACUAUAUAUGGGACUAUACUGUCCCAUAUAUACAUGUCAUACAACAUCACCAUAACUUUGUCCCAAUCCACAGAAUGUACGACAUCAGAGGGAUUGCCUGUGUAAACUGUGCUUGGUUAUGAUGAGCCAGCAUAAGUUCGUCAACACAAUAAAUGUACCUACCUCUCAGGCAGAGGCUGUCGCUUAUGGGAAGGCUCUGUGUGCACCAGCCAGGAAGCAUAGAGGAACUUGCUGUGUUUUAUUUGUGUCUGUGUGUGUGUGUGUGUGUGUGUGUGUGUGUGUGUGUGUUGUUAGAGAACCUAAAAUUGCUUUUUUAAAAAAAAGCCUAGAGCUAGGGAGAUAUAGCUCAGCCAUUAUAGUGCCUGCCUUCAGAAGCAUGAAGAUGUGAGUUUGAACCCCAGAAAUGAUGUGAAGUAGCCAGGUCUCGUGAGACCUGCUUGUGAAUCUAGUGCUAGCAGACACAGCAUGGUGAAGUCUGGGGGUUCACUGGCUUACCUGGUGAGAGCCAGCUGAGCAGAAGACUCGGUUCUGAUUAGAAAAACCAGAGGAUGGCGACUACACCUGAGGAAUGGCCUCUGAGAUUGUCUUCCAACCUACACAGACAUGGGCAUACCACAGGCAAACAUCCACAAAGUCUAGUAAUAAAAUCAGAAAACUACAAUAAGCCAAUUGCUGGAUCCUGAAAAUAAAAUAUGAAGACCUUUGGUGUUAUUGGCCAUGGAAAAAGAUAGAAACAGUUUUUAGCAGGAAAAGGGUUAUGUGUUUGCAUGUAACUUUUAAACUAUAGGAAAGUACCAUUAUGUAUUUGGCAACAAAAUAGAAAAUGUAGACAAUGUAUGCUUACAUUUAUAAACAAACUCAAGAAGAACUAAAAAAAAAAAAAAAAAGGAUAUUCCUAUAGUUCUUAAAUAAAAGGCAAUUGUUAUGUAAAAAAGUCCCAGGCUCAGUAGGUAAAGUGCUUGAUGCCCAAGUGUGAUAUUGUUUAUGCUUGUGAGAAGGGGCCUUCACUGAGAAUACACAAAUAACUCAGUUACAAAUGGACAAUGACUCUUCUCCAAAGAAGAUGACUAAGUGUCACCUGAAAAGAUGCUUCAUCAACUUAGGUCAGACCAUGAGCCAGCAUUUUGCACUCAUCUCGGUAUGAAUCAGCAAAGAGACAGAAAGUGCCAAGUGCCCGCAAGGGCCAGGAGCACCUGGAAUGCUCGCACCGGAUGGCGGGAAUGUGGAGUUACACAGCCACUUUGGAAGACCCGUCUGGCAGGUCCUCGGUUACAGUGUGACCCAGCGUUCCCACUGGAGCAUUUAUGUCCAGCAGCACUGAAAACAUGCACACACGAGAUGCAUGUGUAAUUAGUCACAGGUGUUCCGUUCACCACAGUCAACAGCAACUAAACUAUCCACCCAUCAAUCAUGGGCUGGGCAGACCAGUGUAUGCAGACUAUAGAAUACUUCUCAGCCAGAACUUAACAGCCCAAGGUAACUCUAUUUAGUCCUAUUUUAGCAACUGCCUCCCGGCCAGGGCCAAGCACACCCCUGCAGAACAUCCCCAUACAGCCGCACAGACAGCCAGGGAAGGCGCCUUGAUUUACAAUGGGGAAUACAUUUGUGUACUAAACUGAACUGAAUCUUUGGGCCUUAUCGAUUCCUACCCUGCCUGCACUGGGGCUGAGAGAUCUCUGUGGAAGCCUCUUCUGUCUGUGGCAGGCUUUGCUCUAUAAGAAGGAAGCAAUGAACGGAGCUAAAAGGUGGAGCAGCCUUGAAAACGUAGGAGCAGGAGCCAGCGCCUUAGAGGCUGCUUCAGCAAAUUCUGUAUAUGUGAAGUCUUCAGGUGAGGCAGGCAGGAUAGGAAGUAGACCAGGCCAAGGCUGGGAAAUGGAACGUGAUGGCUGACGGUCAGGGUAUCUACUGAGGAAAAUGAACUGUUUUGAAAUUGGAUGGUUAUGCAACUCUGUGAUGAGACUGAAUAUAGAUCCUUCACAUACUGUUAAAAACGGGUGUUUUGUGGUCUGUGAACCAGUUCUCAAAAGACAAAAGGUCAGAAACAUGGAGGUUGAAAAAAAAAAAAAAAAGGAAGAGGGAACCAUCUCUAGGAGGCUUCAGCCAUGUACCUUGAACAGUUCAGACUGCAGUCCAGCUUCAUUUGCAAAUCAGCAGGGCACGCUUACAAGGGGCAGCCUGGGUUUCUGCUUAGCUCACUGCCAGGCUCGCCUUGCUCUCCAUCCCAGCCCUUAACAGCACACAGCUGCUGGCACAGGCUGGGAUGCCUCCCCUGAGCCCCUGGGCAACCCCAGCUUCCAGCUAGCCUGUUCCUGGGCCUUCUUCCAGUCACCCCUAUCAGACCCCUUCCCGCCAAGCUCACAACUGGGGUUGGUUUCUAAGAUCUGCCUGCAGGUUCCACCAGUCAUUCCUCAUUCACUGGCUCCCACCACAUCCCUGCCCUCUGCCAUUUGCAUUGUGAAUCCACUGGGGGGUAUACAUGAUUUACAAUCUUUGCUUUGUUUCUUCUUCUUUCAAGCACAGAUUUAAAAAAUGUUCUGGGCUAUACAACUGAAAAGAGGGAAGAUGGUGAGAAAUGACAAAAAAGUUUCCAAGAUAUGCAUUCCAAGAUACAAUACAGUAAGACAGAACAUAUAAGAAGGCUUACGUCAGUUAUGUAGAUGGGGGCUUGACAAGCAGCAAUCUGAUAAAUCAAAUUAAUAUUACAGACUCUUAGAACCUUAUUGAGUCUAUGUAUGCUGAUUGUGUUUCUUAUUUUCUUCAUCGUGUAUUUUGAUAUCUUUUUUUUUAUUAGGCGCCUCCUCUGUGCAUAUUAGCUUAGCUAUUCAUGUUUCUUCUAAUAAUCUUAAUUUAGCUACAUACCUUUUAAAUCUAGAAUUCUGAUUAUAUGUAUCAACUGGACAUAUUAGUGGAGUGUGUUCUUGAUUUCGAAUAUACAGCAGGCACUGACUAAGUGCAGUCUCCUUCUCUCCCCCGCCUUUAGCAAUGACCAUUCCAUUUCAGUUCAACUUCUCGUUACAUUUGUCAUCAGCUUCCUCACACAGGAGAGAACAUGCCAGACUCAUUUUUCUGUCUUGUUUAUUUCACUUAGCAAAAUGUCCUUCAGUUCCAUCCAUUUCAUGGCAAAUAACUUGAUUUUAUGCAUCUUUGUGAUUGAAUAAUAUUCUAAUAUAUAUAUAUAUAUAUAUAUAUAUAUAUACACAUAUAUAUACACAUAUGUAUAUAUACACGACAUGUCAUAUAUUAUAUAUUAUACAUUAUAUAUUAUAUUACAUAUUUAUUAUAUAUGGUAUGUGUAAUAUAUACUAUAUAUGCAGGGUAUAUAUAUAUUAUUUAUAUGUAUACAUAUAUGGUAUAUAAUAUAAUAUAUACCGUAUUUUCUCCACCCAUUUGUUGUCUACCCUUGAUGUGCUCCUUGUGGUCAGCUGCCUAGGUUGACCUCCCAUUUAUUCAUUAUGGCCGCUGCAGCCAACACAAGCAUCCCGAAUCUCUUUGCCCUGCUGGUUUUGUUCCCACUGGAACCAUUCAGAACUGGUGUUGUUGCAUUCUAUGCUCGGUCUAAUUUUAGAGUUUUAGAGAUUUUGUCUUGCUCUGCACAACAGCUAUAGUAAUUUGCUUUUCCACCAUCAGUAUAUAACUCCUUGUGCUCAGCUUCCUUGCCAGCAUUUAUUUGUUUAUUAUAACAACCGUUCUAAGCAGCGUGCGAUGAUCACAGAACCAGGAAGAGAAUAUUCUUCCCAAUGGCUGGCUAAUUUCUUAAGAUAGUAAAUUACUUCCUUGCAAACGGACUCAUAAAUGCAAGCUAAACCCACACAAUAUUUCCCCUCCGUAUAUUUGCCCAUGGCUAUGUACGAUGCAAUCAGAGAUCACCGUUGUCCAAACCCUCUAGAAUACGUUAGAAUAACCAGUCCUAAGCUGUUCACUCUGCUGGGCAUUCCCUCCGUCAGGAAUGAAUAUGGCCAAUGCUUGUUCCUUGUUGGUUCUGUUUCUUGAUCAAAACAUAAUGCUUUCUCAUGGCCCUGUGUGAUGAGGUAUGUCCCUUUCCCUGGGACUUGUAUGUCAUAAAUUCUUCUAAUGACAUCAACCUCUUAUCAGUGAGUUCCCUCUACAACUUUAAACACAACUCAUGCAUGUGACAUCGUGUUUCUGAGGCACUCAUGGGAUUAAAACAUUUUCUAGUCAACCCCAUCUGCUAUGGUUUGACUGAAAUGUCCCCACAGGCCCACAUUUUGAGUGCUUGGUUCCUGGACUGUGUGUAGGAUGAUUCUGUAGUGGCUGCAGGAGGUGGGGCCUGGUUGGCUGGAUUGGAACAGUAGGGACAGGCCUGGCCUGCCCUGGUGGACUGUGUCACCUGAAACCGUGAGCUAAAACAAACCAUUUGCUCUCCAAGUACCUGGUCACAGUGAUAAGUAACAAACUCACAAUAAACUAGAUUCAACUGUGGAGACUAGGGGAGGACCUUUAUCAAUUCAUUGUUGAUAUCUUUCAAACUGUAGUGCCCUAAUAUUCAUAAGAAAAAGUUUAAUUUGAAACUUCUUAUGCUGGCAGUUCUGGGAUGCUAUAUUGUGUCUGGUUUAUGGGUGGGACUGUUCAGCUCAGGGGUGGUUUUAUGGUUCAUACUGAUACUGGCUGAUUCUUCUCUGACCCGCCAGCCCAAUCAUUCCUACUGAUAGACAUACUGGCUGAACAUCAGGGUUGGCAUUGCUGAACAUUUUUCAUUGUGUCCUCAGUAAAGGGAGGGGCAACACCACCUUCUGUCCUAGCCAUGGAUGGGUUAGCAAUGUUCUUUGAAGGUCAUCACUGACCACUUUGACCGAGUGCAACAGCAACUGGAAUAACCGAACGGGUGCUUAUUAUGAAAAACUGCCUUGUACAUCAAUGUAAGCUAAACAUUUUCAAUAAAUCAUCUCAGAGCAGCAGCAUCUUACUGUAUAAAGUCAUCACAAAAGGUCUCUUUUGCUGAACAUGCAUUAGUGAACAAAAACCAGAAACUAGAUUGAAAAUAAUGAUCUCAUUAAACAUUAACAACGCAGUGGUAAAGUUUUGCAAACACUUGCAAUUUUGCAAAGUUCUUCUAAUCUAGAGAGUAUUUCCAUUUUUAUUUUUUUUAAAGUAAUAAUCUUAAAGUUCAGGAAUCUACCCAAGCAGUCGUGGAUUUUUUUUUCCCCUCAGAGACAACAAGAAUUCACAAAGCAAACCUCACUGUUUAAGACACAGAACUUCAGGAAUAUGUUUGUGUUAGGAAAAAAAGUAAGGAGACAAGAAUGGUGGAUUGUUGCAAAAGUGCUGUGGUCAAGCCUGCUCUAAAAUGCAAUAGCUCAAAAGGAACGGGAGCAGUAAGAUAGUGUGUGUUUGCCCCCUAAAGACGAGCACCCCUCCUCACAUACACAUAUAUUUAACAAUUGCUCAGUGUCUGUUCUCAGGGGGUAGAAUGAUCUAGAAUUUUCAGAAGUCAGAAUAGCAUUUCUUCCUUCAUAAUAAUGGAAAUAGCAAGUCCCAGCUCAAGUUGAGUGAGUCGAAGAUGUUUACAAUCAUGUUUUUUAAAGUCUUGAAUGUAAAAAAAAAAAAAAACAUGACCAGAUGAUAUCCAUCCAGCAAAAUGUACAUAUGAUGUUAACGUUGAAACCAAAGGAACCCAGACACAUCUUUGACCAAUCUUUUUCAAAGACAGACUCUGCAGGACAUGGUUUCAUUUGCAUAAAGAUGACAACUCUGAUGUGUUGGCUAACUUAAUCUUCUCCGCUAGUGUACUUUUCUCAAAAAUAGUGAGACACCCAAAUGCAGUAAUCUGCAGUCACUUUCUGAGGUGUUUUCAGAGUCGUUUAGUAAUGACUUUUGUCAUCUAGUCAGAAUGUAUUUAGUAAAAAUUGGCUUCUUUGAAAUGUUUUUGAAGCAACUCUCACUAAAAUACUGAUGAGAAAUUCUGCACACAUUCCUUCCUUUAAGAACUUUCAGUUUUAAGCUACCUCACAUGCCCGGAAGUAUGUCUGUCCUUACUAAAUGACCCACCGAGAGCACUCAUCACUCAGUCUCUGGGCUUUUAAGUGGCUGCAGCGUUUACAGAAGACUCACUGUUCUGGUCAGUGUACAGAGACACAGAAAUGCCCACACAGCGUGGAGAAAGGGCUGUUAUCUAAGGUUUUAAACCUUAUGAAAAAGCCACAGUUCUGAGAACCUGCCAAGAGUCACUGCCGUCUUCUUUACCGUCUCACUGUAUUUGUGGAGGAGGAUUUCAGAUCUAAAUUGGUCGGUCCCCAGAGCUCCUCCUGUGGCCCAGGCUGCAUUACCAUCUACUGACAUUUCCUAACCACCACACACUCUCUGUGCCAGGGAGGCCAGGGAGCAGACAAGGGUGUGCAGUAUUGAACCCUGGAAGGCACAGGCGCAGGUUGGGGAAUGGCAUCAAGGUUCCCCAGUGUAUCAUGGAGCUGCUGAGCCUGGGCUCACACAGGGAGGACCGGUGUGUGGUUGUGCUGCGUGCUCCGUCUUCAGCUGAACAGGAACCUCACGUAACGUACUUCUGACCUCCGAUUUGGGCUCCUGCUUUUUCCUUUCUUGAAAUAGACGCCAUGUAGGCAACGCCUACCAUCACCGGAGUGACAAAGUGAUCCUCACAAGUCUCUCAGGUCGGCCUUCCUUCCCUCUGGGCUUUGGAAUGUGAAUCUAGUUUGGGCACAUGCAGCCGUGAGUUGGGCAGCAUCCCGAUUCUGCUACGUGCCAGUGUGACUACGCAUCCUGGGCCUUCUCUGACCCGAGCUAGGUUCAUCACUAGGAAACAGGAGGUGUCAGCACACAUAAAUAAAUGCCAGCAACUUAAAUGUAGAUUUCCCGGAGGAUGACUGACAGCCAGGAAGAUAUUACGCUGCUGUAGCUCAAGCCAGGGCAGUUCCCUCAUUUAGAGAGUUUACAAUCUGUGCCUCACGGAUGAAGAGCCCAAGAUGUGAAGAGAGAAAUGCACCAAAGAACUUCUCAUGAUAUUCCACUGGCUUCUGGCCACUGCUGUGGACUUGGGGAGGUUGGCGUCGGAUGGCUUCUUCAGAAUUGACCUGCUGCUGCUGAUUCGUGAAUGGUGUUUGCGAGUGGAUUGAGCUUCCACUGCUGACUCAUGGGAACUGAGCUGCUGACAUCCUGACAACAAAGAUUGGAAUGGCCCCAAAGAGCUGUUACAAGCAGGUCCACAUCCUCCUUUGCCCUAUUAACCUUUCCUUUCCACUCCCUCUGGUGGGUGGUGGACUACAGGGAGGUUAAAACAUCUAGGAAACCUUAUUAAAGCAGGUUGUGAAAAAUCUAAGCCUACGCAGAAGCAGACUGAAGGAAAAUUGUGGAAAUGCUGGUGAUGGCUACCCCAGGUGACUGCAUUGUAGAUGACAAUUCUAUCUAUUUUUGUAUUUAUAGUAUCUGUAUUUAAUGCUAUCCUUUUUUAUUUUCUCUGCCUCUCUUUUUAUCCUCAGCAUCCAUAACUAUGGUAACAGUGGUAAUCUCUAUACCUCUGCCUAUAAUUUAGACCAUUAUAUGCACACAGUAACCACAGCAAACCUUAGAACACUUUUUAAAGCUAGACCUGUGAGUAUUCUCUAACAAGAGAUCAAGUACUUAGUAUUUCCGUUUUUCCUUUCUUCUUUUGCUGUUUUGUUUUUUGACACAGGGUUGUAUGUAACUGAGGCAGGCUUUGGACUCCUUGUUCUGGGUCUUUCUCUCAAGUGCUCGGAUUUCAGGCACAUAUCGCAGUGCCUGGCCCUCAUGGUUUCUUACGUGAUUUUUGUUUCCUUUAUAGUUUGCUGUCCCUCAAGAUUUAGGAAUUUGAUUUGCAUGAGAGAGGAACAUAAUAGUUUGUUUCUGUGGAACAAUGUUUUCCUAGAACCCAAAAGUCAGAAGUCCUUAAAACAUAUAUGUUUCAUACUUGGUGCUGAAAAUACAGUUGGGGUUGAACAGGGCUCGGUGGGUAAGUGCACUGGCUGCUCUUGCAGAGGACCCAGGUUCCAGCACUCACAACCAUCUGCAACUCCAGUUCCAGGGAUCCAGUGCCCUCUUCUGGCCCCUUUGAGUACUGCAUGUGCAUGCAUGUGGUACACAGACAUAAAUGCAGGCAAAACUCUCAUAUGCAUAAAAUAACAAAAUAAGAAUGGACAAAAGUUCUGGAAAUGUGCUGAGAUGUGAGAAAGAAGAGUGGAUACUGUCUCAGUUCCCCAAGGACCCCGUAGUUAAAGUCUGCAGUCCCCCUGUACCUUUUACCUAACAGAAUCAGUCCUUAUGGGGUUUCGUUAUCAGCAUUUAAGGGUACAGGCAAUGGGGGGGGGGGGAGGAGUAGGACAAUGAGGCCUUGGUUCCAAGACUGGUAGAGCUUGUUUCUGUAGAAGAUACAGAAAAUCAAGUGACUCAAAAUACUCAGGAGAUACACUGGUUGAAAUAUAAGCGGGCCAGUUUGAGCCCACAUCUCCCGGCAUCUCUCAGUUUACACUGUGAUGUCCUCCAAGCUUAGCCCUGCAGCCUUCCAAUGGGAAAUUGCUAAUGGGCACUUCUCUCUCCUUCCAACUGACAGAUUACUUUAAUCUGUUUAAAUGUGUACAAAGGUGGCAUUAAUUUUUAUAAAUUAACAGCCACAGCUUUUUAAAAAAAUCUAUUUCAGACUUAACCUUAGAUAAGGAACAGGAAAAUGGAACAUUCGCCGUCUGACUGACAGGAAAAAGCAAACUUUGCAGUUUUGAAAAGAUGAGGUCCCCACAAAUGUUGUUUAUUAAGUAUCCAGAACUAUGAUUCCCUUUUCUUCUUUUUCUUUUUUGAAUAUUUCUAUAUAUAUUUAAUUUACAUAUAAUUAAUUAUAUAAACUUGAGAGAUGUUUAUUAGGCUACACUUUCUGGCCAGUCUAAGGCACUUUCCUGAGACACGGCUGGCAUGGGAGUAGAUGUCACAGCGAGAUUUUUAACUGCAACUCCUGAAAUCAUUAUUUGUUCCCCUGCCAGGUGAGGCUGUUACUGAUCUGCUUGCUGGCCCCAGCUCCUGCCAGGCUAGGUGCCCAGCGCUGUGGCCGCCCCUCCAAAGGCUCCUCUCUUCUCUUACUCCCUGACCUCUUCAGUUGCAGGUAGUCGCUCUUGUUAAAAGUGCUCUUGGCUUUUGUCUGCCAUUAAAAAGACUGAUUACCUAUCUAAUUUCCUCUUGGGCUCUCUGUUUCUACUGUUAGGAAAACUAUCCCCAUGUUUUGCUAGUCUUUGUGAAGUCCUUAUUAUCUGGGACUAUGUUUUGAAUUAGUUGCUAAUACUUUUGAUGGCUGAAUUUCUGAGGGCUCCAAAUAUACAAUAAACAUCUGCCUUGCAAAGGACUGGUCACACACCAAAGGAAGAAUACAUGGUUACAAUCAAGGCAAGACUGCCUUCAUUCCUCCCUUCCUCUUCCUUCCUUCCCUCCCUCCCUCUCUCCUUCCCCCUUCCUUCUCUCUUUGCUUCUCUUCUUCCCUCCCUCCAUCCCUCCAUCAUCAUCACCGUCAUCAUCACCACAGUCACCAUCACUAUCAUUGCCGCUGCCGCCACCACCACCACCACCAUCAUCAUCAUGGCCUUUCUGUUUUUCACUUAUGGCUGUUAUUAGUAUUCAUUAAAUGAUCAGGUUCAUGACUGUUUAUAGAUUUGUUAAUUUUGUUUAAUAACUUUAAUAUAAAAUGUAAAACUAAGGCAUGAAUUUGAGGGGGGGCACUAGAGGAGUCAGCAUGGAGAGGGAGGGUAGAAGUGAUGUGAACACACACACUCCUGGACGAUACUUCCAAAGCAAUCAAUAGAAAGGUCACGGUUCAGACUCUGAAGUUCGGUUGCUGCUGAAUGCAUCUUGCAUUUCAGCUCUGCUAAGCUGAGCGACUGUCAGUGACCCAUCAUUGUCAGUAAAUCAUCUGUACAAUGAAGUUUAAAAGACCAAAGCCCUUUCACCACCGUUCAUUUUCUUUCUAGGCCCCGGCUUUGCACAUCAAUUUUGGCGUCUAGCUUCAUUAGAUUCAUAGUGUUUCCAGGAGCCACAAUUGAGGCUUUUCUGCUUUAUCACUGGGUGAUUCUAAAGUUUAUGAUACUCACAGAAUUGUGGAAUAUCUAAAAAUAAUCUGAGGUAUUAUAUUAUCUAUAUAUCACUGCAUGACAAACAAGAUUCAGAAUGGUAUAUAGUAAACACCUAGCAUAGUAUUAUCUCUUAGGUCAUUAUUACAAAAUCAGUAUAUUUAGACUCACGAAAGGGAAGAAUCGCUGGCUUACUCAAACAGAAGACGACCUUUAGCAUCUGUUGGGUCAUUCUAGACUUUCUUCAGUGUUUUUACAUGUGGAUGUCUCGAUGUGGGGUACAUCUGUGUGUGUGCAUGCUCUCAUGUGAGUGUGUGUGUACGUGUAUAUGGGUGUGUCUUCUUCCAUUGGGUUUGCACCUUGUAUCUAAGGGCAGGGUCUCUUGCUGAACUCAGAGCGGCUGGUUGGUUAGUCUGGCUAGCCAUCUUGCUCUGGGAUCCCAUAGCUUCACCUUCUGAAGGUUGGGAUAAAACAUAGGCAGCCACACCCACAUUGUAGGUGGGGGCUGGGGAUCCAAAUGGCAGCCCCUGUGUAUCAGCUCACUGCCCUGUGAGCCGGCCCCUCCAGCUCUUGUUUCUUUGGUUUUUAAAGACAAAACUCAGCCACUGCUUCUCUUCAUGUUUCAUUUUAUUUUCUUUGAUUUAUUUUUUUCUUAGCAAGAUAACUUCCUUCAUAAUUUAUUUUUAUCUGAGUUACAGGUGACUUAAAGCCUCAGACUGUAGGCCAUACAGUACCUUGAUUUUGCCUUCAUAUAUAAAUAUUGGUUUGGACAGGUGUAGAAGUCUGGGUUCGAGGACAUUUCUCCACACAAAUCUGAGAUCUUCUGCCGCGGCUUCGCAUGCCCAGCGCUGCUGCUGAGGCGGCGUUACGGACUGAAUCCCUGUUUGAUACUCUCCUUACUUCAGAGUCUCCUAACAGAGCUCUCUCUGCACAGACUGAAUUCUCAUCGCACUAUGUCUGGUACGGUGUGCACACCUCUCUCCAUAAAUUUUUCUAACAUGGGUUUCUCCAUGAAGGAAGUGGCUGUCAACAUGGUAGCCCAUCACGGCAGGAUCACACAGCUGACUUAGGAAGGCAACUUGCUCUUCCCUUAGAGCCCAGAGGAUGGUACCACAUGCUGCCUGCCCAGGAAGAGAUCUAAUGCAAUGGUCUCUUGCUUUUGCACCACCUUAAAGUUAAUGGUCACUACACUGGGAGGCUGCCUCUGUUGCCUUAAAAGCUCCUUAGGUGAGUUACAUGUAGUCAAGUUGAGAAACACGUCUGGGUGGGACAUUUGCAAGGGAUAGUUUCCCUUUUACCAGAGCAAAGAGGGAAGUGUUUGAGAAGUGUUUAGAAUAUCCUAUCUAUCCCUGGAGAGAAAUGUCUCUUUUCAUCUCUCUGACUGCUAUGGAGAAUUCUCUUGGUCACUACUGUCACCGCCUCCUAGAGGAGGCUGUUCCCUUACUAAUAUCCUCCCUGGUAGGACAGACACCCUUUGCUAAAAAUAAUUCUCUGUAGUUAGCCACAAACAGAUGGGGGAUGGGGUAGGGAUGUGGCUUAGGUGGUAGACACUUGCCUGGCACAGGCACAGGCACAGGCACGGAGUGUGAUUCCAGCACUCAGGACAUGAAGGCAGAAGAUGGUUGGCAAGAAUGACAGAAAAAAUGGAUGAAUAAGAGUCCCGCCUCCACACGGUGCAAAGGAGCCCUCCGAGUCGGAACAACUGCGUGCUAGAGACCCAGGAGGCCCACAUGGGUGCAAAGUGGUAGAGAAGAGGUAAGGUGGGAACACGCUCAGAAAGGAGCUUUGGUUUUGCUCCUACGGCACUGGGAGGACAACAAAGGGUUUCCAACUGGCUGCUGCGGUUGCAAUGGCACUCAUCUAGUAGGGGACCCAGGCAGAAGCAGGCAGGCCAGUAAGAGAUAAGAAGUGGCCCUUGAGACGAACAUACUGGUACUGAAUGAAGGCUUACACCCCCUAUUGCUUAUGCUGAGGCCUUAGUGUCUGAAACGACAGCAUCAGAAGGUGAGGCUUUGGGUCCGACUGGGAGAAGCCCAUGAAUGGGCUUAGUGCCUUUAUAAACAGACUGUGAGGGCGUCUUCUGCUCUGGCUUGUGAAGACAUACACGAUGACCAGCUGCAAGCAAGUAAACAAGUCUCACCAGACGCCAGCUCUGCAGGCGCCUUGCUUUUGACCUUCUCAGCCUCCAGGUCUGUGAGAAACAAAUCUCUGUGGCUUAAGGCACCCAGCCUAUGGUACUUCGUCCCCAGAGAUGGAGACAGCGAAGACAGUCUUGUUAAGAGCCAAGGCAAGUGUUUGCACAGUUCAUCUUUUCAGCAUCUGCUGGAAGAGUUGUGAGCGGUUCUGUGUUCAUUCGAUUGACUUGGCUCUGGGCUUUCACUUCGCAGUGUGAAACAGUAACGCUGGACUCCAGGCUCCAUUCAAUACUCUGGAGUGCUGCCAUCCAGAACUGGUUUCUCCCUGUGGCUUUCCCCUAGGAUGCUCCAGACAAAGCUGCCACAGAAAAUUGCACAGGACAAAAGGCACCCUGAGGGUCCACAGGGAGCUGUCUAUAGCACAGCAGGUCAGCGAGUUCAGCCAAACAGGAAGUGAGAUGCUCCUCGGUGAUGCAGCCAAAGAUGACUUUGUUCCAAUGGAAUCUGCUCAGGAGCAGACUGACUCUCAGUUCCCUUACUGCUGUCCACACCCUUACUUAGUUAAAAGAGGGCAUGUCUGAAAGAAAAUGGCCUACUGGAGUCCUGAAAUUAACGUUCUUCUCUUCUCCUCUCUUCUCUUUUCUCUCCUUCUCUUCUCUUCUCUUCUCUUCUCUUCUCUUCUCUUCUCUUCUCUUCUCUUCUCUUCUCUUCUCUUCUCUUCUCUCUCCUCUUCUCUUCUCUUCUCUUCUCUUCUCUUCUCUUCUCUCUUUCUUCCUUUCUUUCUUUCCUUUCUUCUUUCUCUUUCUUUUCUUUCUUUCUUUCUUUCUUUCUUUCUUUUUCUUUCUUUCCUUUCUUCCUUUGCUUUCUUUCUUUCUUUCUUUCUUUCUUUCUUUCUUUCUUUCUUUCUUUUUUUCCUUCCUUCUUUCUUAGUGGAGAAUGUUCUGUCUUUUCAUACAAUAUUUUGACCACAGUUUCUCCUUCCCCUACUCCUCCUAGGACCUUCCCUUCUACAUAAUUCCAUGACUUCUCUCUCUCUCUCUCGAUCUCUCUCAAACAAACUAAACAAACAGGCCAUCAAACUAAUAAUAAUAACAGUAAUUUAAAAACAGAGAAAAAUAACAAAGAGAAUGCAUUAAAAAUCCACCCCAGCACAAAAAAAAAAAAAAAAAAAAAACCAAAACCCAUAAAAACACAAAACAGGAAAACUGUAAUAUAUAGGUAAAAGGUCUGUAAGACUGAAACCUUAAUUCCAAAUAUCAUUUUUCAGUAUGGAGUUCCCACUGUCCUUUGCCUCCCUAGCCAGGCAUUGUGGGACUCUACUCUCAUUUCUCAAUUAGACAUACAUUAUUUCUUUUUAAAAGUAUGAGUAUUUUUGCUUUGCUUUGUUUUUAUUAUAGUCAAUUCUUAGGGAAAGUAAUCCUAGCCAGCCAACUAAAAGCCAGUUGAUCAGGGGCUGGCGAGACUGCUCGGUCAGUAAAAGGCUUUCCAUACAAGCACAAGGAGCUGACUUCCAUUCCCAGAGCCCAUGUUCAUGAAAAAGCCAGGCAGCUGGGCAUGGAGGUACAUAUGUGCAAUCCCAGAGCUGGGGAGAUGACAAAAGGGGAAUAUUUAGGGCUUGGUGGCUGUUGUGGUUUGAAUAAGAAUGGCUCUCAUAGGCCCAUAGGGAGUGGCACUCUUAGGAGGUGUGGCCUUAUGGGAGUAGGUGUGGCCUUGUUGGAGGAAGUCUGUCACUGAGGGUGGGCUUUGCGGUUUCAGAUACUCAAGCCCAGUCCAGUGUGGCAUUCUCUUCCUGCUGCCUAUAGAUCCAGAUGUACAACUCUCAGUUUCUUCUCCAGUACCACACCUGCCUGCAUGCCACCAUACUUCCUGCCAUGAUGAUAAUGGACUAAACCUCUGAACUGUAAGCCAGCCUCAAUGAAAUGUUUUCCUUUAUAAGAAUUGCUGUGGCCGUGACAUCUCUUCAUGGCAAUAAAACCCUAACUAAGACACUGGCCUGGGCAAGUUCCAGGUCUUUCAAAUACUCUGACCCUGGGGAUGUAGGAGGGAGAUGGGCUGUGUGUGAUGGAGCACGCCUUUAAUCCCAGCAGAGGUGAAUCUCUUUGAAUUCAAAGCCAGCCUAGUCUACUUAGCUUGUUCAAGGCCUGCUAAGGCUACAUAGUGAGACCCUGUCAAAAAAAAAAAGUUGGGAGGCCCCCAAGGAAUGACAUCAAAGGUUGUUCUCUCACUUUCAGAUGCAUACAGGUGCACACACACUCCUCAACAUGUGUGCACCUGCAUGCAUAUGAAUACACAUAGCACAGACACACACACACACACACACACACACACACACACACACACACACACGAACAUCAUUGAUUGAAACAGGCUAGAGGAAAGGGCAAAUUAUUCCCAUGGAUUUAAAGAUUAGCAAAUACCAUAGAAACUGAAGGGAGAAACAGCCAGUGUGGGUGUGUUUAUGCUCACAGCACUUCUAGUUGGAAAGUCAGUCUCUUAUCACAAUGUAUUUCACCUGACAAAGGGUACUUAAAUAUCUUUUAAAGAAACGCUAAUUGCAGGCUUCUUCGAAUAGUGCUGGAGAUUUGCAUGAUGCAAAGUCAUUGAAGCACACCAAUUAAAACUGAGAAGGUGCUGUAUGGUGUCUUAAUAAUUUCAAAGCUUCAGGUUGAAAAUAAAAUUCCUAUGCUUUCCUUACAUCUUCUCUGCCACUUAAAAUUGAUUGCCAAGCUUCCAGCAUUAUGGAUUACUUUAUAGUUAGGAUGUACACAUUUCUGGCUAUGUAGCUCAACAGAGCCUGACAACACUGUGAACAUAUACCAGCUGCUCUGUCCUGCCCAGAAACUAACCCAGGGGAUGCCACAGAAAAGCAAAGAAGGCGACCACAUCUCAGAAACUCAUUGUAAACUGGGGAAGUCUUUCAAGAGAGUGGCUGAAACCCAGUGUGGACAGCAACCACCAGUUUAGACCUGAAGAGCGGAGGAGGAAUGACCAGCAUGCAAGCAGCACACAUAAACACACCCUUACUCCCCUGGGAGAGAAUGCCAGGGUAGAAAAAAAGGCAACACCAAACUCCUGGGGCAACCCCAGAGCAUUCCCUCAAUGUCCAAGGUAAAGACAUAGAGAAGUUCCCAGAGAGGCAGACACGCAGUGGUACCAUAAAUGGGUGACAGUGAAGGUGACCAGGGUGAGGUCAUGCGGAGGUUGAAAGGUCAACUUUAGCCCCAGAUCAGCAGAAGCCUCUCUUUGGUGAGAGCAUCCGUUCAAGCAUUCCAUAGGUUUACUAUGUGGGGAUGCAAGUUAGACACUCAAAAUUGGUAAACAUCCAACUGAUAAAACCAUGAGAUAAGAGAUCAACCAAAAAUUGAAAUUGGAAAUUCAAAGCCUGCACUGAAACUCAAACACAUUAAACUGUUAAUACAAUUUAAAUAUAAUAUGUUCAAACGAAGGACAAACUUUAUGUCCAACAGGUAGCAGACACUUCAUUUUCUUCAGGCAUGCAGGAGACAGUCCCCUGCUGGAGCACAAUUAAAACUUAAUACAUCCCACCAUGAAUCAACACCGCUCAGCUAAUCAAAGAGUAAUGAAUUAAAACUCACGGGAACAGAAAACACUUCAGUCCGAAUGACGGUGAAAACCUGUGUCAAACUGCGUGUGAGUUUUAAAUACAUCUGUGAGGAAAUAGGAGAGUGUAAUGAAGGUUCUAGGCUUCCAACUCAAGUGUUACAAAAGCAGCCACCACAUCAGUGUAAGGAGAACCCGAUGGCACAGGGGGACAGCAAGAGGCUGAAGAGUGGGAAAAAGAGGUUGAGCUGUAGUUUUGUUUUUGAAAGAAAAAACAAAAAAACAAAAAACAAAAAAAGAACCACAGUAUGGAACCCAGAUAAAGAGCCGUGGGUAUAAGAGAGAUCCCAAGUCAUAUUGCGAUCAACUCUAGGUGGAUAGUUUGAAACCAGAAUAAACAAAUACAUUUGGUUAAAAUAUAUAAAAUGUAAAAAAAAAAAAAGUGUUAAAAUUCAUACAAACACGUGUCACCGAAGUGUAACAUGGAACAAUGGCCAUUAGAAAUGAUGCUGACACAGUAAUGGAAGCGUCUUCCAUGAAGGAGACCCUUGGACUCAGGUAGUGUCACGUUUCAGUUCUACCAUGCACUCAAAGAUCUGAUACUUCUUUUACACAAGUUGCUCCUUUUAAAAGGGAAGGGAGGAGGGAGAGAAAGAGAAGAAGGAGAGCGAGAGAAAGGGGAUGGGAGGAGGGAGAAAUACUUCUGCCUCUGUCAGAACAACAGAAGUCUGAAAUUCAAAUAUCAAUUAUUGACAAGAAAGAUUUGCUUCACUGGUGGGGAUAUCCCCACUAGUUUGAGGGGGUAAAUUCCACAGUUUGAGGGUAAAUCGUGUAUAUGAGCCACUAAUGAGGUAGCGAUUCGUCAUGUGUAGUAUGGCUUACAAGAAUUCUGCUGUUUAUAUAAGGUUUGAAUAAGAUACCUUUUACUUGUUUUUUUUUAUUUAAAAUUUUUGUGUAAUUGAUUUUAGUCACAUUCUUUUCCCUCCCCCAACUCCUCCCAGAUCCCAACUUCACCUUCUUUCUCUUUCUCUCGAAGAAAGGGGAAAAAAAAUCAAAGUAAACAAACUAUUAAAAACAAAACCAAUAAAACAAAAUAUUUAAAACAAAACAAACAACAACAAAAAAGCAUAUUCACACAUACAAAAAAAAACAACCAAUGGAGUCCAUUUUUUUUGUUGGCCACCUAUCUCUGAGCGUAAGGCCUGCCCUCUGUGUGGUAGGAUAUACCUAGUCCUCCACUAUGGAAGGGAAAUGAAUUUUCCCUUCCCAGCAGGAAGCAAUUACAGGUAGCUUCUUGAUUAGGGGUGAGUUGGCAAGUCCUCUCCUCAGUGCUGGGCUCUGCCUGGGCUUCCUGGGCUAUUUCAAGCACUGUUGCGUGGGUGGCCUGAGCAGCUGGAAGUCACCUGGGAGUCACCUGUAAAAUCUGAUGGCUGCACAGGAAGAGACCUCGUCCACAUAAACUCUCAAGACAAAGACAAGUAACAAAAUAAAAACAAAAUAACAAACUACUGAGGUAAACCAAGGGCCUAUGUAUUCAAGCAGAGUAUUCAUCUUCUUUAUAAUUGAAAACAUAACCUAAAAUCACCUUGUAUAUUUAUAAAGCAUAACCAACCCUUAUCAUUUCCAUCAACGAGUGUCUCUAGCAUCAAGAAUUGAGCAGAUUAGCCUCCAACUGGCCAUUCUGACAUAACUGCCAUAUUAUAAAUGUCUCAGAAAUAUGGAACGCUGAAGAUUAAGACAGAGUUAGCAAGUGGCUUUGUGCAAGUCAGAAUAAACUGCACGGCUAGGUUUCUAACAACUCGGCUGUGCUUUAAACUUUUCUACAGCUUGUUAGCAGGCAAUCUGAUGCCUGCAUUUACCUACCAACUGGUAGACAAGGCCAUGCAUUUUUAUGCUGACACAGCAGGACACACUUUCCAAAGAAACAAUGGGGUCAUUGCUAAAUGCCAUAAAUACCCCAGCCAGAAUGAAUGGCUUGUUCCAUGGCAGAAUUACCUUUGUGUCUUCAGAUGGCUCACUGCCCAAGACACUCACUCAUCCUUAACUAAGCUAAGGCAUCACAUUAAGGAUAGUAUUACAACUUAAUAAAGAAACAAAUGUUUUUGUGUUCUCAGAUUUCUACUGUUGUUGUCUGUUUUCUAAAGGAUUAAAAUCUCUUGCAGAAUUGACUGCCUGUGUGGAAACACAAAAUAGAAAAUAUCACUCACUACAGCUGCAUGAGUUGAUUGGGGGUAGGGGGCGGGGCCUGGCAGGCCCGAUGGCAAAACCACAAGCCAUGUGUGAGUUACAGAUCUCUAGCAGGGUGUGAAGCCCACUGUAACUACCAAGAUGCCAAAGGAUGAAAUCUAGACAAGAGUUCUUCCUCCUACACAAAAGACUUCCUCAGAAAGCAAUAAAGAAAGGUUACCAAGGAGGCUUCCAGGAUUUUCUGCUUUGGACCCCUAUCCCUAAGGAACUCUGUUGAGCGUUUCCUAGUCACUUCUGCAGAGAAAAGAACAGAAAGACAUGAGGUGGCACGGAAGGAACUGAAAGGGGCCUGGAUAUAGCUCAGUGAACAGAGUGCUUGCCUCGUGUGCACAAAGCCUGGGUUCUGACCCCCAGGAUCACACGGGAUCCAGCUGUGAUUGAUGGAGUACACCUGCAGCUCCGGAACUUAGGAGGAGCAAGCAAGGAGAUUGGAAGCUCAGGGCCGUCCUCUUCUUUAUGAUCUGAAGGCAGCUUGGAAUACACAAGACCCAUGUCUCAAAACAAAACAAAGCAAAACAAAAAACCCAAGAAGGAAGGAAGGAAGGAAGGAAGGAAGGAAGGAAGGAAGGAAGGAAGGAAGGAAGGAAGGAAGGAAAAAGAAAAAGAAGCAAAAGCAACAAGGAAAAAGUUAAAUAGAUUACUCCUUUUGCUGUCAUGGUGUAACUUAACCAAGCACAGCUCUGCAAUCUGAACAUAUAACUGUAAAGGCUUGAGGUUUUGUUCCACUUGUUCUUUAAGGGGUAAGGAACUAGGAAAAGGACACCUUGAUUUUCCAGGAAUCAUGUCGAUUCUCCUUCUAUUCUUAAAAAUACCUUCUUCUCUUUCAAAGGUUCACUCAAGUAUCAUCUCAGCUGGUUGGCACCACUGACCACCCAGGUAGUUCCUGGCCUCUCUGCGUUUCCUGUCCAUACAUAUUGUAUUGUACUUGCUUCCUCUGUAGAGCGGCGAUGCACUGCCCUAUCUUCUUCAUCCCAGAAUCCAGCCCACUGCAAAGUAUGUGCUGACUGUAUUUACACAGUUGGUUUUCAGUUUGGGGAUAUGUUUCUAAUAGCUACAGUAGGAUUUUAGUUUUAUUGUAUUUGUGUGUGGUGUGUCCAUGUGUGUGUAGCUACAUGUGUAUAUGUGGGUGCAUGUGUAGGUUGUCUUCAUGCUUGUAGGGAGAGCUCAGUCAGAAGGGUACUUCUUCAGAUGCUCUCCUGCAUGCCCCCUUUGAGGCAGAAUCUCUCACAAGCCAAGAGUUUACCAAAUAUGCUAGGCUGGCUCUCCCGUGGAUCUGAGAUCCGCCUAUACUCCGAGUCCUCAGUGCUGAGAUUCCCAUGAGCCUCUAAGAUCCGCCUGUCUCUGAUUCCUCAGUGCUGAGAUUACAAGCACGGGUCCCACACUUAGCUUAUUGUUUCCUUCUUUUAAAAAACUAAAACAAAACAGCCUGGAGUUGAGUUCUUAGGAAGUCUUAUGGAGGUGGUAGGGACAGCAAAUGCAUUGAGCCCUCCUAAACAUUUUAUGAAACCAACAAGAUAAAGGUGAGCAAUGAACAAGUGGGAGGUCUAGUGGUUCUUUACCCAGUGUUUUUCUUAAAGGUGGAGGUCCUGGGAACUGGAUGUAGGAACUUGUAUAUUCUAGGCAAGUACUGUGCCACCGGGCUAUACUCUCUGCUCAGCAUUGUGUUAAUUUGAUUUCCUGUUUUUGAGACAGAGGCUCACUAAGUUGACAGGCUGCCCUUGAACUUGUGAUCUUAUCUAAGCUUCUCAAGUUUCUUGAGAAAAUAGCAAAAAAUUGGGAACAACCCAUUACAAGCAUGAGCCACCAGGCCUGGCUCACUCAAAAUGUUAACUAUAAUAAAUGAGAUAAAAGACAUACACCUUAUCAUCGCACAUGUAAAUACAGGCUAAUGGCGCUGGAUGGCACACGCAUAACAAGUUUAACACAUCACUGGUUUUAUGUUCGUGACAGUCAGUGACACAGCUAUAGAUUGAGUCAUGAGAAAUGGCUGCCCUGUAAGAGAAGUCACAGCCUUGAUGUGAGAUGGAUUAGCCAGUUCGAAUACUUCUUAGAAAGAUUUUCUGUUUGGGUGUCAUAUACUUCAGAGGCUGAAAAGAACUAGAGGACAUGAAAAGGAUAAAAAAAAAACAAAGUAAUAAAUACUAAUUGGGCUUGGCUCAAGCCACAAAAAUAGUGAAAACAGAAUUCACAGACUAAGAGAAAACAUCUGAUUGAUCCAGAAUAUGUAAAGAGUUCUUACAGCUCAACAACAAGAAAUUAAUCAUUUGAAAAUAGACAAACAAGAGUGAACUCUACAAAGAAGAAACACAAGCAACUGAAAAGUAAACGAGAAAAUAUUUAGAAAGCAUUAGUCAUGAGUGAAAUGCAAAUCAAAACCACUAAGAUGAGCACUAUAUGUAUGUGUAUGUGAACAUGUAUGUGUACGUGUGUGUGUGUGUGUAAUCUGCGAGGAUGAAGAGACACUAGACUCAUGACACAUUGUAAAAUAGCGAAGCUACCUUUUUUCUUCCAGAUUUCACUUCCUGAAAAUCCAUAAUACAUGGUAUUAAAUAAGAAAAGAUGUAUAAAUCAGAAGACUGAAACAAAACCUAAAAAGCCUACAUUUACAUUGUAUUGAAUCUAGUUUCCUCAUGACCCAGCAGGCCCACUGCUGGGUAAAAGUACAUGAAAGCAUGUAUCCUCACAAAAAUCUUCACAUGAAGGCUCAUGGUACAGAGUUAUUCAAAAUAGAAAAAAAAUGGGAACAACCCAUUCAAAUGACUGGGUAAAAACAAUGUGUUGUAUCUCCUGUAUGGAGUGUUAGUCGGCUGUAAGAGUGUCAUAUUGACACCUGCUACAAACUGAUGUUUAAGAGAAAAAAUAAGAUACAAAUAAACACAUAUUAUUUGACUCCUAUCUGAAAUAUACGCAUAACAGGCAACUCUGAAGAACUAGAAGGCAGAUUAGUGAUUUGCGGGGCCUUCAAGAGAGGAGGCAGAGGAAGAGUGAGCUACAGGGCAGAGUUUCCGUCAGGAAUACUGGAAAUGUUACACUGUGGUGACAGGAGCGUAAAUGAAGAAAUAACCCGUGGACUAUGGAUGUCAGAAUGGUGAAUUUUCUGGCUUGUGGAUUGUGUCUGAAUAGAUCUGAUAUAAAACAGUCACCAGCUGUAGUCUGCUGGUCCCGGUUGGUUCGAGAUUCAGUCAUAGCUGCCUGUUCCUUGCUCAACCCAUCUGCAGAGCGACCUGAGUGGGUUCAAUGCUCUCCAAGAUUGUUCUCAGGACAAAAACAAAACCUCCCUCUUUGAAAAGGUGUGUUUUCACAUGGACCGUGGAGAUCCAGAAGUAAUUGUCAGCAGCCGGAGGAUUCACGUCAACACGUCUGCUGGGACAAGAGCACGACUGAAUUUUACAAAAGUGUAAUAGAGCCCCAGACCUUAGCACAACUGACGUCAUGAUGGGCGUACCAUUCAGACCAUAAAACUCAACGUGUAGACAGUACCACCUGCCAAAAACAAGCGUGCAGACCUACUCCAUCAGAGCCCGUAGGUCCGGGGAAGUCUCUAGGUGGACUGACCCUGCUCUUCAGCUUCUGUGGCUAUGCUUCUGGCUAACUGUUCUUGCUAACUGAAGUAUGUCAACUCAGGAUGGCGUUUUGGUGCCUAAAGGCACACCAUGAGAAAGGGACUACGCUAUGAUAAGAACCUCUGAACAUGAAUCUUCACUUUAGAAUCACUGCCCCCAAGAACAGCCAGACCUCUGUCAGAUUCAAAGAUCUACUGAAAGAUUGAAAAAAAAAA